CCCACUCAUUCUGCACUGAGCCAAGGAGAAGAGCUGUGACAAAUAUCUGUAUUCUUGUUCAGACCACAUACUUUUAAACCAUUGCUUUGCUCUCUGUAGUUCCCAGGGGCCUAGUGAAUGUCAAUCCCUGUCAGCUCUCAGAGACAGGGGCGCAAUGGAUACUUUUCUGCCCUCUGGAGGGAGCUAUCCAAAAGAAGAAACUGCACUUGGAAAUUGACCUAUGAGCAGCACAGAAGAUGAAGAAGGAGAAGAGGGGCCAUCAAGCAGAGAAAUGUGGAGUUCUUAGUCAAGCCUAAAGUGAAUACCUCCCCUUUGAAGAAUGGAACCCUACCUCAGCCUUCUUGUGUACCAUGUGACAGAUUCUAUCCAGGCCACAUUCAACCCCACUGGUUCCUGAAUGGACAGGAGGAAAACAGCUAGGGUUAUGUCCACCAACCUUACCCAUAAUAAAGACUGGAUCUUCCAGAUCCUGGUGAUGCUGGCAAUGACCCUUCAGCAGGGAGAUGGCUGGACCUGCCAAGUGGAGCACCCCAGCCUGGAUGGUCCUGUCACUGUGGAGUGGAGUUCCUGAUCUGACCCAAAGACCUCCAUGUGCCCCGGAACAAGCAUUUUUCUAUCUUUCCUCAGUCCCAGAGGCUGGUUCCGGGACAGACUUCAGCCUCCCAAGAGGAUGUUACUACCAAGUGCAUUUGCAGUGGCUGCCGUGAGGCAGACAGUGGGGAGAGAAUGAGGCAGAGCAGGGCAGGGAGGAGCUCUGAAUCC